CCACUCCAGGUGGAAUGAAACCAGGGAUGGGUCCUAUGAGACCCCCAGGACCAGCCCCCCCGAUGACUAGCAUGAGUCAGCAGUUUGGGGGUAUGAGUCUGGGCCCCCCUUCAGGACCUGGUCAGAUGAAGCCUCCACAAGGCCCAGUCUCCAAUGGCUAUCCAUACAGUGACCUUCAGAAUGGUCCUCCCUCUGGUCCACCUUCUGGCCCUCCUCCUGGUC